GGAGAAGUACCCAAGUGGCUAUAAGGGGCUCCCCUGCUAAGGGAGUAGGCGUCGAAAGGCGUGCAGGAGUUCGAAUCUCCUCUUCUCCGCCA
rnacentral:tRNA from 1 species